CGCCGCGUGAGUGAUGAACGUCUUCGGAUCGUAAAGCUCUGUCUUCAGGGACGAUAAUGACGGUACCUGAGGAGGAAGCCACGGCUAACUACGUGCCAGCAGCCGCGGUAAUACGUAGGUGGCGAGCGUUGUCCGGAUUUACUGGGCGUAAAGGGAGCGUAGGCGGAUUUUUAAGUGAGAUGUGAAAUACCCGGGCUCAACUUGGGUGCUGCAUUUCAAACUGGAAGUCUAGAGUGCAGGAGAGGAGAGUGGAAUUCCUAGUGUAGCGGUGAAAUGCGUAGAGAUUAGGAAGAACACCAGUGGCGAAGGCGACUCUCUGGACUGUAACUGACGCUGAGGCUCGAAAGCGUGGGGAGCAAACAGGAUUAGAUACCCUGGUAGUCACA
rnacentral:rRNA from 1 species